rnacentral:rRNA from 1 species
UUGUUCUUUAAAUGAGGACUAGAAUCAACGGCAUCACGAGGAUCCCACNUGUCUCCCCCCUCCAAUCAGUGAAACUGAUCUCUCCGUGAAGAAGCGGGGAUACAAAUAUAAGACGAGAAGACCCCAUGGAGCUUUAAACCCAACAGCACCCGUUUAUUUUCAUCCUCACAUAAGUUAGGUUAUGCCUGUUUGGUUUUAGGUUGGGGUGACCACGGAGUAUAAAACAACCUCCAUGAAAAAAGGACCAAAAAUCCUUAUUAGAGAAAGACAUUUCUAAAAUUAAUAAAUUAAUUUUUAAUGAUCCGAUAUUCGAUCAACGAACCAAGUUACCCUGGGGAUAACAGCGCAAUCCACUUC